rnacentral:SRP_RNA from 1 species
GCCAGGCAUGGUGGCUCAUGCCUGUAAUCCCAGCACUUUGGGAGGCUGAGGCGGGGGGAUAACUUGAGGUCAGGAGUUUGAGACCAGCCUGGCCAACAUAGUGAAACCCCGUCUCUA